GAUGAGGUUGCCGAGUGGCUAAGGCAGUGGACUGCUAAUCCAUUGUGCUCUGCAUGUGUGGGUUCAAAUCUCACCCUCGUCA